rnacentral:rRNA from 1 species
AGAGAUAGAGGGUGCUCGAAAGAGAGCCGUAACACAGGUGCUGCAUGGCUGUCGUCAGCUCGUGUCGUGAGAUGUUGGGUUAAGUCCCGCAACGAGCGCAACCCUUGUCAUUAGUUGCUACAUUCAGUUGGGCACUCUAAUGAGACUGCCGGUGACAAGCCGGAGGAAGUGGGGAUGACGUCAAGUCCUCAUGGCCCUUAUAGGUGGGGCUACACACGUCAUACAAUGGCUGGUACAAAGGGUUGCCAACCCGCGAGGGGGAGCCAAUCCCAUAAAGCCAGUCGUAGUCCGGAUCGUAGUCUGCAACUCGACUACGUGAAGUCGGAAUCGCUAGUAAUCGUGGAUCAGAAUGUCACGGUGAAUACGUUCCCGGGUCUU